UAAAUAGCCAGGCCGGCUUUCGCUGGUCGCCGGCUUCUUAGAGGGACUGUCAGCGUCUAGCUGACGGAAGUUUGAGGCAAUAACAGGUCUGUGAUGCCCUUAGAUGUUCUGGGCCGCACGGUAAGGCUAUAUCCCCCCAUUUUUUGGGACUCCACAUGCUAACUACUAUUACAGCGCGCUACACUGACAGAGCCAACGAGUUUAGUCCUUGACCGAAAGGUCUG
rnacentral:rRNA from 1 species